rnacentral:lncRNA from 1 species
UUAUAUUCUCUACCUAUAACCUAUCUAUCUUUUAUACACAUGAGAAAGGAAUCACCCUCUUAACAUGCAUAUAGCAAAUAGCGCGACACAAACAUUUCAAUGAUUAUCAUUGCCAAAAACUAAGUGGUUAUUACACCAAGUACAAUUCAACUCCCAUACAAAGAAUCAUACAACUUAGCCGCUGACAAUAGUCCUCAAUUG